rnacentral:tRNA from 1 species
GCGUUAGUAGCUCAGUACUUAGAGCAUUGGUCUUGUAAGUCAAAGGUCGAGGCUUGAUAACCCUCCUAGCGCU